CACGUAGGGGCCAAGCGUUGUCCGGAUUUAUUGGGCGUAAAGAGCUCGUAGGCGGUUCAGCAAGUCGGGUGUGAAAACUCUGGGCUCAACCCAGAGACGCCACCCGAUACUGCUGUGACUAGAGUCCGGUAGGGGAGUGGGGAAUUCCUGGUGUAGCGGUGAAAUGCACAGAUAUCAGGAGGAACACCGGUGGCGAAGGCGGCUCACUGGCCCGUAACUGACGCUGAGGCACGAAAGCGUGGGGAGCAAACAGG
rnacentral:rRNA from 1 species